rnacentral:lncRNA from 1 species
AUUGACGUGCAUAUUUAUUUAGUUGAGUUUCAACUAUUAAUAAUAAUAAAAAUAAGUUUAUAUCUGGCGUGUUUAUAUUAUUUUAAAAUUUACUGUUUUAGACAUGUGGCAUGUGGUAUCCCACUAAUUAGCUAUUUUAAACAUGUGACAAGUGGUAUGACACUGUAUUGAUGUAUGUGAAAUGUAUAGAGUCUUUUAGUUAUCAGAAAAUGUCAAGGAGCUGACAGCAUGGUGUCCGAUUUAAAGUGCGAACCUGUGUACGAGUAACAACAGUAUUCUAAACCAAAACCUCUAAACUAGCUUUUAAACCAACCAAACCAAAACUAGCGACCAAAAUCUUGGCAUUGGUUUAUUUUAAACAUCUAUUAUAUAUAUGUGUGUUUUUUGUAUAAAUGUACUAGCUGGAGUAUAGUGUAUUAAAAAAUUUUUUUUAAGU